UUUUAGGGGAACUCGGCGUGGAAUUANAAUGCAAAACGAACGAGAUUUUUUUCUGUAGCAAUACAGGAAAAAGUCUAGUGGCGAACGGGUGCGUAACACGUGAGCAACCUGCCGUGAAGUGGGGGAUAGCUCGCCGAAAGGCGAAUUAAUACCGCAUAUGGCCAAGGAAGACAUCUUCCUGACGCCAAAGCCGGGGUAACCUGGCGCUUCUCGAGGGGCUCGCGGCCUAUCAGCUUGUUGGUGAGGUAACGGCUCACCAAGGCUAUGACGGGUAGCUGGUCUGAGAGGACGACCAGCCACACUGGAACUGAGACACGGUCCAGACACCUACGGGUGGCAGCAGUCGAGAAUUUUUCACAAUGGGGGAAACCCUGAUGGAGCGACGCCGCGUGGAGGAUGAAGGUUUUCGGAUUGUAAACUCCUGUCAUUAGAGAACAAGGCACAUGGUUUAACUGGCCGUGUGUUGAUAGUAUCUGAAGAGGAAGGGACGGCUAACUCUGUGCCAGCAGCCGCGGUAAUACAGAGGUCUCAAGCGUUGUUCGGAUUCAUUGGGCGUAAAGGGUGCGUAGGUGGCGAGGUAAGUCGGAUGUGAAAUCUCCAAGCUCAACUUGGAAACUGCAUUCGAUACUGCUUUGCUAGAGGAUUGUAGAGGGCAUUGGAAUUCACGGUGUAGCAGUGAAAUGCGUAGAUAUCGUGAGGAGACCAGUGGCGAAGGCGAAUGCCUGGGCAAUUCCUGACACUGAGGCACGAGGCCAGGGGAGCAAACGGGAUAGAUACCCCGUAGUCCUGG
rnacentral:rRNA from 1 species